AGAUUCAGGCUGUAUUUAGUGGGGGAGGGAUCUGGCCUCAUAUCCUUCAUCUUUAUGCUGCUCCACUCCAGCUCACAGCCCCUCCAACUGGAUGGAGCUCUUCGAAGGGAGGGGCAUUUCAGAGGAGGGUCUCAGGGAUAGCCCCUUUGUGGGGCUGGGCCACCAGGUUGGGGAGAGUGGAGCUGCUGGAACUCUGGAGGGACUGGCUGAGCCAGCUUUCCCAGUGCACCCCUCUGGGAGGGCAGGCUCUCGGUGUAGGCUGCCCAUCUCCUCGCUCUCCUCUGGCACUGCUCCUAUGCCCCCUUGGUUAGCCUGGGAGCCCAUACUACCCAGACUUGGGGUCAAUAAGCAGAGGACCUGUAAGGAGUCCUUGAUGGGAUGUACAGCACUGCCCAACCCUGCACAAGGUAGGGUAUUGCUGUUUGUUGUGUGGUGAGCUGCCUGCUUAUGGCUGGGUUUGGGCCUCCAUCCAUUUUUAUUUUCUUUGAGUUGGUCUCUGGGCAAAGCUUCUCCCAGCAGGCGGAAUCUGGCCUGGGGGCUCCAGCUUCUCUCACCUGCCUGGCCUCCCAAGAGCUAGAGAGCUCCACAUCUCAACUCAUCUAUAACUCAUUAGCAGAACCAUCAGCUAGCAGAAACUAGGAAUAAUAAAAAUGUGCCGUAUUUUCACAAGCUGGAUGCCAGGCUUGGUGGUCAGGACACAGACUGCUUUCAGCUCCCACAUGCCCCUCCUGCUAGCUGCUUUGUGCAGAGUAGUGGCUACAUGGCUGCAGGUGAGAGCCCUGCCUGUGAACAGGCCACCAGGAUGCUGGGACAUACGAGUUGAUAACCCAUGGGCUCCUGAGAGCAGAGAUUGUGACUUACUCAUCUUUGAUGUAGCCAAGUUCUAACAAACCUAAAUGUGCAGAUCAAAGAAGUCUUGCUGUGUCCAGAUCAUAUAAAUAUUGAAUAAGGCUGCUUGGAAUCCUUAAAGGAGUUUGGAGAGGAGGAGGAGGAGUUCAAUGCAGAAGAUGGUAUCAGAAAAUGCUGAACUUCAGCUAAGAGCUAAUACAAAAGUCAGCAACAAAGGAAUGAGAAUGGAUCCUAUCAGGCAUGGCUUCUAUUUUUGGCUUGGAAUUUGCACACACAUUGCUUUUAAGGUAUAAGUCGUGCAAGAAUUUGACUGUCUGGGUCAGAACAAUGAGAAGGAGAAAAGCAUUUAUCUCUUGAUUUGGUUUUCUAAACUUUCCUCCUUUAUUUGGAAGUCCAGUAUAUUAACUUGAGGCUCCUGGCCUCACGCUGUCUUUCUACACUUGCUGCAGGAGAGUUCUCUACCCACUCCUGGGGCAGGUGGUCUCAAGGGUCUUUCAUGAGUAGGCUAUUCUCCAAAUGACCCCUGUUGAUUUAGGAGUCAUGUUUGCUGGGAAGCCUUCCCUGACACCCCAAAAGUGGACCAGGCCCCUCUCUCUGCAGCCCCACAGGCCCCAGUGCUCACUUUCACCAGAGCACACGUAACACUGGCUUGUGUGAGUGUCCAUCUCUCCCACUGCACUAGAGCAGCUGGGGCAGGCUCAGUGCCUUAGUCACCAGUACAUCCCCAGCCCCUAGCACAGUGCCCAAUACACAGCAGGUGCUCAAAAAACAUGUGCUGAAUGAAUACACGAGGAGAAGUGUAUGAGGGAAGUUCCCAGGGCGGCCCUCCAGCCAGAAGCUUCCUGAGUUCUUGUUGUGGCUUCUCUAGGUAAUCGCUGGUACCACCCAGGAGAUCAGAAUACCGAUCCCCCAACUUGUCUGCCCUCAAGUGUAGCACAUCCAGUAGGCUACUUUAUGAGACACGAAACUCUUUUCCCAUGGUGUGGUGAGUCUGGGUGCAAAUCUUUUUGGAGCAAGUGGUGGGCACGUAGUCAGGCAUGAAUUCUACCCCGUGGUUUAGAGUUAAAACCUGAUUUCAUGAGUCUCUUCACAGGCUUUUCAAAUUCUCUCACCAUCUCUGGCUGCUCUAAGCCCAGAUUCUUGAAGUUUAAUGUCUUUCUUCACAUCUUACCUUUUUGUUUGUUUAUUUAUUUUGAGACAGGGGCUCAUUCUGUCUCCCAGGCUGGAGUGCAGUGGUGUGAUCACGUCUCACUGCAGCCUCGACCUCCCAGGCAAUCCUCCUGCCUCAGACUCCCACGUAGCUGGGACCACAAGCACACACCCCUAUGCCCAGCUAAUUUUUUAUUUUUGUAGAGAUGGGGUCUCACUGUGUUGUCCAAGCUGGUCUCGAACUCUUGGUCUCAAGUGAUCCGCCCUCCUUGGCUUUCCAAAUUGUUGGGAUUACAAGUGUAAGCCACCACACCCAGCCAUAUUUUACCUUAAUUAUUUUCCUUGUCAGAGGCUGGGACAUCUCUCACUCUUUCUCUUCUUUAUGGGUUUUUGGAAGAUGAGGGCAUUUUGGAGUCAAGGUCCUUUGGUUUCCAGUUGAAAUUCCUCUCCUUGCAGCCCCUUGGAAGAUUCUGUAGCCUGGUCUUGAGUCCCCUGUAUUCAUACUUUGUGUCCUUCCCCGUGCUCUGUUCUCCGUCCUCUCGUCCUCUCUGGAAGCUCUGUCCACUGAAUGCAUGUGCCCAGGCCUUGUGUCCCAUUGAGGCUCACCCCCCAACCCAUCCUCCACAGCCCCUGCCCUGCAGAAGAUUCCUCAUUCAGCCACAUCCUCACCCGGGCUGUCAUCAGCUCCACCUCCCACCAAGGGUCUCCCACUGACCUCCCUCAACUUCCCAACUUCCACCGCUUCAAAAUUGUUUGCCCAGCCUGGGUCUCCCCUCCAUGCACUGUGAUUCAGGGAAAGGACUUGCGGUUUCAGAUAGUCACUCACCUCUGUCCUCACUUGCUCUUUCUAAUGAGAAGGUGCCAUAGGCCUUGAGAAAGUGAGCAGGGAUUUACCAGGAGGACAAAGGGAA
rnacentral:lncRNA from 1 species